rnacentral:misc_RNA from 1 species
GGAGGGUUAGGGUUUUGACCCUCAGGUUCGAUUUCAUUCUCCAUUUUCACGUUGCACUUUCAUCGGCAACAGUGUUUCGUUCCGAUACUUUGGAUUUCCAUGGCGACGCCGGCAGUGAAUGCUCCAGCAAAGAGGAAGCCUGUGUUCGUAAAAGUAGAAGAGCUUAAGCCUGGUACGAGCGGCCACACUCUCACGGUCAAGGUGGUGAGUUCCAAAAAUGUGAAGGUUGUCAAUAAAGGUGGACGAUCCACCAUGCUUACGGCUCGCCCUCAACAAUUAACUCGAAUCUCUGAAUGUCUGGUGGGUGAUGAGACCGGUUCCAUCGUCUUCACAGCUCGAAACGACCAAGUUGAUAUCAUGAAGCCAGGAAACACUGUGACCCUGCGGAAUGCAAAGAUUGACAUGUUCAAAGGGUCAAUGAGGUUAGCAGUAGAUAAAUGGGGACGAGUUGAAGUUGCGGAACCAGCCAACUUCGAGGUUAAAGAGGACAACAAUCUCUCACUGGUUGAAUAUGAAUUGGUUAACGUUAAAGAGGACAACAAUCUCUCACUGGUUGAAUAUGAAUUGGUUAACGUUGAAGAAUGAGAUCAAAUUAUGCAAUGUUAAUUAUCAUGGAUUUCCUUUCCUAUUGUGUGGUGGACUGCUAUUUAUAACUGGUAUACAGUUUCUAUAUGGCAACACAAAUCUUGCUGAGGGUAAUAUAAGUUGAUUAUUGCUGUGCCUACUAACUUCUACAUG